rnacentral:sRNA from 1 species
GCCAGGCAUGGUGGCGCAUGCCUGUAAUACCAGCUACUCAGGAGGCUGAGGCAGGAGAAUCACUUGAACCCAGGAAGCAGAGGUUGCAGUGAGCUGAGAUCGCACCACUGCACUCCAGCCUGGGUAACAGAGUAAGAUUCUGUCUCAA